rnacentral:rRNA from 1 species
AUUGAACGCUGGCGGCAGGCCUAACACAUGCAAGUCGAGCGGUAGCACAGAGAGCUCGCUCUCGGGUGACGAGCGGCGGACGGGUGAGUAAUGUCUGGGAAACUGCCUGAUGGAGGGGGAUAACUACUGGAAACGGUAGCUAAUACCGCAUAACGUCGCAAGACCAAAGUGGGGGACCUUCGGGCCUCAUGCCAUCAGAUGUGCCCAGAUGGGAUUAGCUAGUAGGUGGGGUAACGGCUCACCUAGGCGACGAUCCCUAGCUGGUCUGAGAGGAUGACCAGCCACACUGGAACUGAGACACGGUCCAGACUCCUACGGGAGGCAGCAGUGGGGAAUAUUGCACAAUGGGCGCAAGCCUGAUGCAGCCAUGCCGCGUGUAUGAAGAAGGCCUUCGGGUUGUAAAGUACUUUCAGCGGGGAGGAAGGCGAUAAGGUUAAUAACCUUGUCGAUUGACGUUACCCGCAGAAGAAGCACCGGCUAACUCCGUGCCAGCCGCCGCCGUAACAC